GGGGAAGUGGUCCAGCGGUAGGGCACAGGCGCCUCGAAUGUCCUGGAUGUACGUUCGAAUCGUACCUUCUCCA
rnacentral:tRNA from 1 species